GAAAAUGAACUAAUUAGACCAGUCAGAUCUUCCUGCAACCGCCCAAAAUCUGGCUGUUCAGUAGCUGAGAAAAAGUAAAAUUGUUUUAGCUGGAUCAAAUAUUUAAUCAGCAUAAAUGUAGAUGCUUUUGACAGACAUUUGGGAAUGUAUGAAGGGAAGACAACAAGAAGACAAAAAUGCUAUUUAUUUCUGUUGUGAACCCUCACCCGGGUCUUCCAGUCAUUCCCAGCCCUCUGCAUAGUUGGCACCACAAGCUGCUCUAGAGGCCAAGACACUUGCAGCUCAACAGCAGCUUCUGAUUCUGGGUCCACAAAAGGAACAAGAAGUUACAGUGAAAUUACAGACUCACCUAAGUACACAUUACCCUGUGAGCACAUUUUUUAUAUGGGUUGAGUGAUAAUACAAAGCUUCACAAAACUAAAUUUAAUGCUCAAGAAAGCUGCUGCAUUGACUAUUCUGCAAACUGAAGUUCUCAAUUCAUCCUUAAUUCUUUUAUGGCAAGAAGCCUUAUUGAGGGCUCAGGAACAAACCAUCCCGAAGUGCAGAAAGAAUAGCAAAUAUGGCAGGCGACGAGCUUGGCUUAACAGUGAAAUCUCUGGCGAGCUUAAACUCAAAAAGGAAGCUUACAAGAAGUGGAAAUUUGGACAGAUGACUAGGGAGGAGUAUAAAGAUAUUGCUAGAGCAUGCAGAGGUAUAAUCAGGAAGGCCAAGGCACAAUUGGAGUUGCAGCUAGUAAGGGAUGUGAAGGGUAACAAGAAGGGUUUCUACACAUAUGUUAUCAACAAGAAGAAGGUCAGGGAAAGUGUGGGACCCUUACUGAUUGGGGAAGGCAACAUAGUGACAGAUGAUGUGGAAAAAGCUGAAGUACUGAAUGCUCCCAGACUGCUGCACUGGACAACACAGUAUGGGGAGGAUGUGACCACCCCUCAGUGGUAAAAGAACAGGUUAAGGACUAUUUAUAAAAGCUGGACAUGCACAAGUCCAUCGGGCCAGAUGCUCUGCAUCCAAGGGUGCUGAGGGAGUUGGCUGAUGUGAUUGCAGAGUCAUUGGCCAUUGUCUUCGAAAAUUCAUGGUGAUCUGGGGAGGUCCUAGAUGAUUGGAGAAGGCCAAUAUAGUGCCCAUAUUUUAAAAAGGGAAGAAAGAGAACCCGGGGAACUACAGACCGGUCAACCUUACUUCAGUCCCUGGCAAAAUCAUGGAACAGGUCCUCAAGGAAUCCAUUUUGAAGCACUUGGAGGAGAGGAAGCUGACCAGGAACAGUCAACAUGGAUUCACAAAGGCCAAGUCAUGCCUGACCAACCUGAUUGCCUUUAUGAUGAGAUAACUGGCUCUGUGGAUAUGGAGAAAGUGGUGGAUGUGAUAUAUCUUGACUUUAGCAAAGAUUUUGAUAUGGUCUCCCACAGUAUUCUUGCCAGCAAGUUAAAGAAGUAUGGAUUAGAUGAAUAGACUAUAAGGUGAAGAGAAAACUAGCUAGAUUGCGGGCUCAACGGGUAGUGAUCAACUGCUCGAUGUCUAGUUGGCAGCCAGUAUCAAGCGGAGUGCCCCAAGGAUCGGGCCUGGGGCUGGUUUUGUUCAACAUCUUUAUUAAUGAUCUGGAUUAUAGGAUGAAUUGUACCCUCAGCAAGUUUGCAGAUGACACUAAGCUGUGGGGAGAGGUAGAUACUCUGGAGGGUAGGGAUAGGGUCCAGAGUGACCUAAACAAAUUGGAGGAUUGGGCCAAAAGAAAUCUGAUGAGGUUCAACAAGGACAAGUGCAGAGUCCUGCACUUAGGAAGGAAGAAUCCCAUGCACAGCUAAAGGCUGGAGACUGACUGGCUAAACAGCAGUUCUUCAGAAAAGGACAUGGAGAUUACAGUGGAUGAGAAGCUGGGUAUGAGUCAGCAGUGUGCCCUUGUUGCCAAGAAGGCUAACGGCAUUUUGGUCUGUAUAAGUAGGAGUAUUGCCAACGGAUUGAGGGAAGUGAUUAUUCCACUCUAUUCAGCACUGGUGAGGCCACACCUGGAGUAUUGCUUCCAGUUUUGGGCCCCCCACUACAGAAAGGAUGUGGACAAAUUGGAGAGAGUCCAGCAGAGGGCAAUGAAAAUGAUUAGGGGGCUGGGGCACAUGACUUACGAGGAGAGGCUGAGGGAACUGGGCUUGUUUAGUCUGAAGAAGAGAAGAGUGAGGGGAGAUUUGAUAGCAGCUUUCAACUACCUGAAGGGGGUUCCAGGCUGUUCUCAGUGGUGGCAGAUGGCAGAACAAGGAACAAUGGUCUCAAGUUGCAGUAAGGGAGGUCUAGGUUGGAUAUUAGGAAACACUAUUUCACUAGGAGGGUGGUGAAGCAGUGGAAUGGGUUAGGGAGGUGGUGAAAUCUCCAUCCUUAGAGGUUUUUAAGGCCCGGCUUGACAAGGCCCUGGCUGGGAUAAUUUAGUUGGUGUUGGUCCUGCUUUGAGCAGGGGAUUGGACUAGAUGACCUCCUGAGGUCUCUUCCAACCCUAAAAUUCUAUGAUUCUAUUCUAUGAUUCUAUGGAAAAACAUUUACCACACUGUCCUGCCAAUGUGCCUUAACUCUGAUUUGAAGGGAUUGCUACUUGGACUCUGUCUACUCUAGGGAAAAAAUCCCACUGCGACUAACACCAUUUCAUUGUAGUGUCCACAGGCUUCAGUUUGCUAAAAUGGUGGCCUGCCUAUGCUAAGGAAUGCAGCAUUGGGAAAUUUUGCAAAAGUCUGACGUGUAGACAGGACAUAGGAGUGAGAAGAGAAUUAAAUUAAUAUGCUUAUUUAGCCCUUGUUGUCUUUACUUUGACAACAAGUGUGCUAGUCAAUGGCACUUGCACUGUGCCAUUUGUGUGAAAUUUACAAAUCUCCAGUGGGAACUGCACUGGGAUCACCAACUCUUAAUCUAGGACUGUUAAAUUGUCAGAGGGUUACAAUUUUCCAUCUCUAUCAACCUGGGCUAGUUUCAAACUGGGUACUUGAAGGCACAAUACUUCAGCGUUUAUUAUUUAUCCUCUGAGUCAGCUGGGCACUUUGUGAAGACUUGAGACCUAACAGUACUGCCUGCAAGUGAUAUAUUUUCAUUAGUCCUGUUUUAUUUAACAGCUGCCUCUGAAAUUGUUGACCAACAGAUGGUCUUAAAUUCCUUGUAGGACUCCUGUGCUCUACUCUAGUCUCGUAUCCUAUAUUUUUGAUUUAAAUAAGCAGUGCAGAUUGUUCUUAAUGUUCCUUUGACUUUGUUUAGUUUCAAUUUUUUUCUGAGUCCUGCAAGAGGCCUUUAGUUUUUCAGUUUCUAUAUGUAGUCACUCUGUAACAUUUUCAGUAAGCUAUCACCGUUAUGCCAAUGAUACACAGCUUUACCACUGGCUCCUUGCAUAGGCUUUUGAAUACAAACACAUUGCCUUUAUAAGAAAUGUCUUUUGCAUCUCAGCAUCUUCCCAAACAAAUAUUAUAUUUUGCUCUCCAUACUUGAUCAGUUCUUUCCCUAAUAAAGAAUGUUUCAUGUGAUUAGAAUUUGGGAGGUGCUUUACAGUCAAAUCUGAGCACUGAAACUGGUUUUAAUCAGACAGACAGGAAAACAUGUCUCUAUUCCCCUAGAAUAUUGGAAAGAAAAGAUAGAUAUGAACCCUGUGAUCAGCAUCAGGCCUCAGCUUCUGAUGAGUGGUGUAGGUGAUACAACACAUAUUGUAUUGCUGCCUGGGUGGGAGGAGAUGAAACUACUGCCAUUUAGAAAGCAUCACUCAGCAAGGUAUAAAUGAAGUAUGAAAUAAAAACUCCCUACCCACUCAGUGCACAGACAGAAAACAGGAUUUUACAGGCACUGCUGUGAUAUGCUGUUUGUUGUAAUAUUAACCUCACACAGAGUGCCCCAAGUUUUACAGUGUCAGGCAAAAAGGGAAAAGAUUUCUUGUUAGGUUUCUCCUCCUAAUUCCCUCUUUUCACCAAGCAGCAAAACCUGCUGCUUCAUUUAGUAGCCCGUGAUAUUUGCCUAGGUAGAACAGAACAGGAGGUGAGCUGGAAAAAUGGUAAGAGGAUAUUGUGCUAAGAGGAAUUAUGCACUUAGAACUUAGUAGGGCAAUUUGGAGUGAAUUUAAGUACUAAAAAUAAAUAAAAAUUGAGAGAACACUGGAUGUGACUGCUGACUCAGAAACAUUUAUUAUCCUGUCUUUAUUGAGUUGUAGCACAAUCUGGUAAUGUGGAAGGUGAGAACCAUAGGUAGAAAAUAUGCAACCCACAUUUUAAAUUCAUUAGCAUUAGGGAGUCCUAAUCUAUGUUGUUAGGUAUUUUAUACAAUACGUUAGCAAUCCUUGGGUUGACCAAACGUUGUCAAUCUCAGAUUAUGGCCCCAUGUUUGCCCUUGUAGAAUAAGAUGAACAGAUCUGCCACCCAGGUCCUUGUGGGAAUCCUGCUCAAUAUUUGCAAGCCCUAAAUUGGUCUCCUUGCAGCCUCCUUUUCAUUUGGCUGGAUAUGUUCAGUCUUUGAACUAGAUCCUAAGCUUCACUGAACUCAGUGGAGCCUGGCCAGUUUAUACCAGGAGAAGAUCUGUCCCCUUAUCUAUAAGACAUACAUACCCUCCUUCCCACACCUGUGCAACAAGUGUCAAGUUACUUAGUCUCUCAGCUCCUCAGUUCUUCCCCUGUAAAAUGGGGAGAUAAUAGCACUUCUUAACCUCCUGACUGUUGUGAGGAUAAAUAUAUUAAACACCACAAAGGGCUCAGAUACUGUGGUAAUGGGGGCUGCAUAAGUACCCAAGAUAAAUCCCAAAUGAGGCCCGACAAGGGUCUUGUAGGGUUUUUCACAUAGUUCCACCGUGUAACUACAGUGAAUGUAACUAACCAAUUUAACCAAUGUAACUAACCAAUUUACUCCAAACAAAUUAUGCUUAGCUGCUGAAGUGAGCAGUAGUAAGACUGAAGUAAGCUUACUUACUAACGUAGUAAGGCUGAAGUAAGAUAUGAAGCCUUCCUUACCUCUUGUGUUCCUGUGCAAGGGUCAGCCACAAUUGCAAUAAGCACAAGGAUUGUAUGGGACUAGCGUCCCUAACUUUGACACUGGUCAAAAAGCUAAGCAGACACAGUGAAGGAGAGCACACUGCAUCAUAUUAAGGGAUGUAGCAUCAGCCAUUAAUCCUGCAUGCCUGAGAGCUCUAGGAAGGCAGGAUAGACUUCUGUGAUGAGGCAUAGAAACCCCACACUGAGUCAGGGAAGAGAGAGGUUAAUGGAAACAGUUGCAGUCAUCUCCAUCCUGCAAGCCCUGUCAGAGGUGUCAGGCCUGUAGGGAAGGCUCUCUGUCAUCUGGAAGGAAUGAAAAAGAGGCAGCAGGUUUCAGAGAACUGGCUGCUCUUGCAGAGUGGAGGUCGGGAGGGAACUAAGCCAGAGACAUGCUCUCCAGGCCUCCUUGAGGGAGAAGGAAGGCCUCAUGCUGGCCCUCCACAUAACAUUUCUGUCUAAGUUUUCAGUGUGGGUUCAAUGGUGCAUUAGUCGUUUGGUGGUACACUGCAAAGUGUGAAUACCACUCAUUCUGAAUAAACAACACAGACAUGCAAACUUACAUGUAGGGUAGGUCUACACUGGGAGCUGGGGGUGUGAUUCCAGCUCCGGAAGACAUAUGUGCACUAGAUCUCAUCGAACCAUAACAUGUAGCAUGAGCUGUAGGAUGGGCGCUCCCCAUGUAUGUGCCUGUCAGAGACCCUAGGCAUCUACUUGGGGGUGGCUAGCCUGUCUCACAGCUCAUGCUGCUGAAGCUACACUCUCUUUAGCAUGCUAGUUCGACAAGAGCUAGUGCACAUAUGUCUCCUUGAGCUGGGAAUCACACCCCUAGCUCCAAGAGUAGACAUAUCUGUAACAGCUUGAAAAUCUGGACCUGUAUCUCUUCUCUGGUGGGUGGGACCAUAAAUACUUCACAGUAUAACUUACUGUUCCAUUUGUUGGGAGACUGAAUGAUGAAUGUUUCAGCUAAUUAGUAAGUUCUGAAUAACAGAAAACUCCUUCAUUGUGAUAAACCGAGAGGGCAGUGGGAACAAGGUUUGAAUUGUUGCAAAUGAAUGUCAGAUAUGGGAGCAGCGUAUUAGGGGGUUAAUAGACUUACUCUAAUCAGAUGAUAGAAGGCAGUUUAUAUUGUUAUUCCCUAGGACUAAAUGUCUCUGAAGAGUUAUUUACAAAAUUCCAAAUGUAUCACCCCGCUAUAUGGGAAAAGCACAGAGGAGGCAUUUAGAGUAAUCAUUUCUGCACUUAUUUAUAGAAAUAUUUUGGUCCAAUAUGUGUUUGGGUUGAAUGUACAUUUUUAUAUCAAUUCUACGCUGUUCUUGCAAGGCUUAAAACUAUAAAUCAUUUGCAUGUAGAUAAGUCCUUUGUGUCCUGCUGUCCUUAUUUAUAGACUGUAAAUGCAUGCUUACAAAACCAAUAGAUUCAUAUCCACCUACUUUAAUUUAUGGCGAUUAAAUUAUUACAGACUUUGUCUUUGGAACUAUUACAUACCAAAUUCGUUGCAAGUGUGGAUUUUAUUUUUUGAUAGGGAAACAACUAGUGUAAUCUUCUUGCAUAGAAGAGUAUAGACAGUGCCUAAGGUGGGAAUCAUUUUUUGUUUAGGAUUUUUGAUAUUUAUUAUUGACUUGUGCUGUAUCUUUAUUUAUUUAUUUUUGAUUAAAGCCAUAAAAUAGUAAAAGAGAAAAUCCAAGAAGAUUCUGGAUCAUUUAGAUAAGUGAACUACCAGAUAGCAAAUGCAGUUCACUGUAGAGAAAUGUUAAACAAUUCAGCCGGGAGGAAGGAUCUAGUCUAAGGAAUACAUACUAAAUAAAGCAGUGAUCUAGCAUACUGAUUAGGAAAGACAUGGAAGAAUUAUAGAAAAAUGACUGAAAACAUGAAUCCAGUGCAUGCAGCAAUAAGAAUGUAUUGUUUAACAAUAUAUUAUGGAGAUGCCAGUAGCAUCUCCAUAGUUAAGGUUGGAUUGUGAUUUACACUUAAAACAGGAUUAAAGUUCCUCAGUGUAACACUUUAAUGAUUGAAAAUUUGGGAUGAUAAUUCUGUUGAGGAUUACUGAAUUUUCCAUGUUAUUUUAUUAGUAAAACACUCCUGAACUUUUGCAAACAGCAUUUAACAUGCUCACUAGUAGAGAUUUUGCUCUCUUCUCUCCUGGAUUCCUCUAGCUAAAAACACCACAGGCCUCAGACUCCAAGCUACAUAUAUAUAUAUACACAUUUUGACAUAUGCCCAUUUUAAAAUGAAACAGAGUUUUCCCCAUAUCCAGGAUCACCUAACAGAAUAGUCAAGUGCUUACUCCUGGGUUUUUAGCUCUACCCGCCUGCCUCCCUGACCCACCUGCUCCAU